GGAGAUGGUAAGUUUUAACCAUAAAUUUUCAAAUGGUACACAUAGAGUAUAUAGGACUCAGUUUAUAUUCUUGCCCCCAGGUUUUCCCAGUAUAAGAGAUGGGUCUGCAGAAAAUGAUGGCAUAGAAUUCCAAGAAAGGAGACUUUUAGGAAGGAAAUGGCCAUUGUCAGUGCUAUAAAGCAGUGCUUCUUAAAGUCUGGUCCCUGGACCAGCAGCAUCACUAUUACCUGGGAACUCAUUGGAAAUCAUAUGCUUGCCUUUCCUGCGGUGAUGACCUCCCCACGAGAACAUGCCUCUCGCAAAAAAAUCUCCAUCAUCCCUCUCCAGAAGAGAAGAGGAAACACAAGAAGUGGUUCCUGGUGCAGAGCCCCAAUUCCUAUUUCAUGGAUGUGAAGUGCCCAGGAUGCUAUAAAAUCACCACAGUUUUUAACCAUGCACAGAGAAUAGUUUUUUGUGUUGAUCGCUCCACUGUUCUCUGCCAGCCUACAGGAAGAAAAGCAAGACUUACAGAAGGAUGUUCCUUCAGGAGGAAGCAGCACUAAAAGCAUCCUGAAUCAAGAUGAGUGGGAAAACAUACCAAUAAACACGUUUUGGAUAUUAAAAAGAAAAAAAGAAAUCACAUGCUUGGGCCUCAUAUCAUAUCUGUUGAAUAAGAAAUGCAAGAUAAGACUGGACAUUUCUCUGUUCAGCCUCUGUAAUAUCUUUC
rnacentral:lncRNA from 1 species